GAUGAACGCUGGCGGCGUGCCUAAUACAUGCAAGUCGAGCGAACAGACGAGGAGCUUGCUCCUCUGACGUUAGCGGCGGACGGGUGAGUAACACGUGGAUAACCUACCUAUAUGACUGGGAUAACUUCGGGAAACCGGCGCUAAUACCGGAUAAUAUAUUGAACCGCAUGGUUCAUUUGUGAAAGACGGCUUUUCUGUCUCUUAUCGAUGGAUCCGCGCCGCAUUAGCUAGUUGGUAAGGUAACGGCUUACCAAGGCAACGAUGCGUAGACGACCUGGGAGGGUGGUCGCCGACACGGGAACGGAGACAGCGUCCAGACUCCUACGGGAGGCAGCAGUAUGGAAUCUUCCGCAAUGGUCGAAAGCUUGGCGGAGCAGCGCCGAGUGAGUUAUGAAGGUCUUCGGAUCGUAAAACUCUGUUAUGAGGUGAAAACAAAUUUGUAAGGAACUAUACACGUCUUGACGGUACCUAAUCAGAAAGCCACGGCUAACUACGUG
rnacentral:rRNA from 1 species